rnacentral:rRNA from 1 species
UGGGGAAUAUUGGACAAUGGGCGAAAGCCUGAUCCAGCAAUGCCGCGUGUGUGAAGAAGGUCUUCGGAUUGUAAAGCACUUUUCGACGGGGACGAUGAUGACGGUACCCGUAGAAGAAGCCCCGGCUAACUUCGUACCAG